GACGAACGCUGGCGGCGUGCUUAACACAUGCAAGUCGAACGGAAAGGCCCUGCUUUUGUGGGGUGCUCGAGUGGCGAACGGGUGAGUAACACGUGAGUAACCUGCCCUUGACUUUGGGAUAACUUCAGGAAACUGGGGCUAAUACCGGAUAGGAGCUCCUGCUGCAUGGUGGGGGUUGGAAAGUUUCGGCGGUUGGGGAUGGACUCGCGGCUUAUCAGCUUGUUGGUGGGGUAGUGGCUUACCAAGGCUUUGACGGGUAGCCGGCCUGAGAGGGUGACCGGCCACAUUGGGACUGAGAUACGGCCCAGACUCCUACGGGAGGCAGCGGUGGGGAAUAUUGCACAAUGGGCGGAAGCCUGAUGCAGCAACGCCGGGUGCGGGAUGACGGCCUUCGGGUUGUAAACCGCUUCCGCCUGUGACGAAGCGUGAGUGACGGUAAUGGGUAAAGAAGCACCGGCUAACUACGUG
rnacentral:rRNA from 1 species